rnacentral:misc_RNA from 1 species
GAUGAAGAACGUAGUGAAAUGCGAUAAGUAAUGCGAAUUGCAGAAUUUCCGUGAGUCAUCGAAUCUUUGAACGCACAUUGCGCCCACUGGUAUUCCGGUGGGCAUGCCUGUUCGAGCGUCAUUAUCCUCCCUCAAACCUCGGGUUUGGUGUUGGACCCAAGUUGUGUGAACAACUGGUCUUAGAGACAAUGACGGCGUCCGUGGGACCCUCGGUGCAACGAGCUUUUAGGAGCACGCGUCGAGUUUCAAGGACCUUCCGGGCCGGUCUCCUUUACCAUUUUACAAGGUUGACCUCGGAUCAGGUAGGAAUACCCGCUGAACUUAAGCAUAUCAAUAAGCGGAGGA